UUAAUUAUACCUACUUGAAAUUGAAGCUACCGUUGCUUGUAAAUUUUGUAGCAGCUGGACUAAGGAAAGACUUAAUAGAACUUUAACUUUAUGAAAGAUUACAGCUAAAUAAAUAACAUUUCUUUCAAGUAUAGUUUUGUUUCUGUGGUAAGAGAGCCCUAGGCAAGGGGGAGGGGGUCAACAACGCGCUUGCAGUGCACCUGUUGUUUCAGGCGUCCAUAGGCUAUAUAUAUAGCUAUGGUAUCUGUUUACCAUUUGGCGGAUCAUACGCUAGCUUACCACUUUUAUAGUAUAAAAAAAAGUAACAUAAGUAUCUAUACAGCGACAAUUCAAGGAAUGCUUUAGCAACUUGGUAAUCUGUCUGAGGCAGUCAAAGUGCUUUACAGUUUUCAUAUUAAAUAAGACAUAAGUACUCUUAUAUAUAGAUUUAAUAGUUAACUUGCUCAUUGUGGUUAGAAAACUAUGGGACGGACAUUUUCGUCUUUGUUCAAAAGUCACAAAAAGAAAAUUAGAAAAAAAAAAAAAAUGUUCGUACAUUUAAAGGCCUAAAACCAACUUGGUGGCAAUGUACUUAGUACGACUUUCAGAAGUACGUUUACUCGGCAUUAUGUAAAUGUAAAAACUUUUUAGUUUUAAUUUAAUUUUGAAUACAUAAUAUUAUGACGUUUA